AAGACAACUUUACGGAGUUGACGAUUGACGGAGCGAAGCGACGUCAAAGCGUUCAUUAAAGUCGAGUUGGCUUAGGGAUACGUUCGUUGGGUAGGGGAGCGUUCUGUAAGCCUGUGAAGGUGUGUCGUGAGGCAUGCUGGAGGUAUCAGAAGUGCGAAUGCUGACAUAAGUAACGAUAAAGCGGGUGAAAAGCCCGCUCGCCGGAAGACCAAGGGUUCCUGUCCAACGUUAAUCGGGGCAGGGUGAGUCGACCCCUAAGGCGAGGCCGAAAGGCGUAGUCGAUGGGAAACGGGUUAAUAUUCCCGUACUUGGUGUUACUGCGAAGGGGGGACGGAGAAGGCUAUGUUGGCCGGGCGACGGUUGUCCCGGUUUAAGCGUGUAGGUGUGUGUUCCAGGUAAAUCCGGUUCACUUUAACACUGAGGCGUGACGACGAGGCACUACGGUGCUGAAGCAACAAAUGCCCUGCUUCCAGGAAAAGCCUCUAAGCAUCAGGUAACAUCAAAUCGUACCCCAAACCGACACAGGUGGUCAGGUAGAGAAUACCAAGGCGCUUGAGAGAACUCGGGUGAAGGAACUAGGCAAAAUGGUGCCGUAACUUCGGGAGAAGGCACGCUGACACGUAGGUGAAGUGAUUUACUCAUGGAGCUGAAGUCAGUCGAAGAUACCAGCUGGCUGCAACUGUUUAUUAAAAACACAGCACUGUGCAAACACGAAAGUGGACGUAUACGGUGUGACGCCUGCCCGGUGCCGGAAGGUUAAUUGAUGGGGUCAGCGCAAGCGAAGCUCCUGAUCGAAGCCCCGGUAAACGGCGGCCGUAACUAUAACGGUCCUAAGGUAGCGAAAUUCCUUGUCGGGUAAGUUCCGACCUGCACGAAUGGCGUAAUGAUGGCCAGGCUGUCUCCACCCGAGACUCAGUGAAAUUGAACUCGCUGUGAAGAUGCAGUGUACCCGCGGCAAGACGGAAAGACCCCGUGAACCUUUACUAUAGCUUGACACUGAACAUUGAGCCUUGAUGUGUAGGAUAGGUGGGAGGCUUUGAAGUGUGGACGCCAGUCUGCAUGGAGCCGACCUUGAAAUACCACCCUUUAAUGUUUGAUGUUCUAACGUGGACCCGUAAUCCGGGUUGCGGACAGUGUCUGGUGGGUAGUUUGACUGGGGCGGUCUCCUCCUAAAGAGUAACGGAGGAGCACGAAGGUUGGCUAAUCCUGGUCGGACAUCAGGAGGUUAGUGCAAUGGCAUAAGCCAGCUUGACUGCGAGCGUGACGGCGCGAGCAGGUGCGAAAG
rnacentral:rRNA from 1 species